rnacentral:rRNA from 1 species
UACGGAAGGGGCAAGCGUUGUUCGGAAUCAUUGGGCGUAAAGGGCGCGUAGGUGGUUCUGUAUGUCUACCGUGAAAGCGUACGGCUCAACCGUAUUUUGUCGGUAGAAACUGCAGGACUUGAGGCUGGGAGGGGCUGGUGGAAUUCCCUGUGUAGCGGUGAAAUGCGUAGAGAUGGGGGAGAACACUCGUGGCGAAGGCGGCCAGCUAGACCAGUUCUGACACUGAGGCGCGAUAGCGGGGGGAGCAAACAGG